rnacentral:rRNA from 1 species
UGGGGAAUUUUGGACAAUGGGCGAAAGCCUGAUCCAGCCAUGCCGCGUGCAGGAUGAAGGCCUUCGGGUUGUAAACUGCUUUUGUACGGAACGAAAAGACUCUGGUUAAUACCUGGGGUCCAUGACGGUACCGUAAGAAUAAGCACCGGCUAACUACGUGCCAGCAGCCGCGGUAAUACGUAGGGUGCAAGCGUUAAUCGGAAUUACUGGGCGUAAAGCGUGCGCAGGCGGUUAUAUAAGACAGAUGUGAAAUCCCCGGGCUCAACCUGGGAACUGCAUUUGUGACUGUAUAGCUAGAGUACGGCAGAGGGGGAUGGAAUUCCGCGUGUAGCAGUGAAAUGCGUAGAUAUGCGGAGGAACACCGAUGGCGAAGGCAAUCCCCUGGGCCUGUACUGACGCUCAUGCACGAAAGCGUGGGGAGCAAACAGGAUUAGAUACCCUGGUAGUCCACGCCCUAAACGAUGUCAACUGGUUGUUGGGUCUUCACUGACUCAGUAACGAAGCUAACGCGUGAAGUUGACCGCCUGGGGAGUACGGCCGCAAGGUUGAAACUCAAAUGAAUUGACGGGGUCAUAGCUGUUUCCUG